UGGAAUGUAGCUCAGUGGCAGAGCAAUGUAUAAACUAUGCGUCGCAGGUUCGAUUCCUGCCAUUCCGA
rnacentral:tRNA from 1 species